rnacentral:rRNA from 1 species
GACGAACGCUGGCGGCGUGCUUAACACAUGCAAGUCGAACGAUGAAGCCGGAGCUUGCUCCGGUGGAUUAGUGGCGAACGGGUGAGUAACACGUGAGCAAUCUGCCCUUGACUCUGGGAUAACUGCGGGAAACUGUAGCUAAUACCGGAUACGACACCUUGGGGCAUCCCAGGGUGUGGAAAGAAUUUCGGUCAAGGAUGAGCUCGCGGCCUAUCAGCUAGUUGGUGAGGUAAUGGCUCACCAAGGCGACGACGGGUAGCCGGCCUGAGAGGGUGACCGGCCACACUGGAACUGAGACACGGUCCAGACUCCUACGGGAGGCAGCAGUGGGGAAUAUUGCACAAUGGGCGAAAGCCUGAUGCAGCAACGCCGCGUGAGGGAUGAAGGCCUUCGGGUUGUAAACCUCUUUUAGCAGGGAAGAAGCGAAAGUGACGGUACCUGCAGAAAAAGCACCGGCUAACUACGUGCCAGCAGCCGCCGUAAAAC